rnacentral:rRNA from 1 species
GACGAACGCUGGCGGCGUGCCUAAUACAUGCAAGUCGAGCGCAGGAAGCCGUCUGAACCCUUCGGGGGGACGACGGUGGAAUGAGCGGCGGACGGGUGAGUAACACGUAAAGAACCUGCCCAUAGGUCUGGGAUAACCACGAGAAAUCGGGGCUAAUACCGGAUGUGUCAUCGGACCGCAUGGUCCGAUGAUGAAAGGCGCUCCGGCGUCGCCCAUGGAUGGCUUUGCGGUGCAUUAGCUAGUUGGUGAGGUAACGGCCCACCAAGGCGACGAGGCAGAGCCGACCUGAGAGGGUGAUCGGCAACACUGGGACUGAGAAACGGCCCAGACUCCUACGGGAGGCAGCAGUAGGGAAUCUUCCACAAUGGACGAAAGUCUGAUGGAGCAACGCCGCGUGAACGAUGAAGGCUUUCGGGUCGUAAAGUUCUGUUGUAAGGGAAGAACAAGUGCCGCAGGCAAUGGCGGCACCUUGACGGUACCUUGCGAGAAAGCCACGGCUAACUACGUGCCAGCCGCCGCCGUAA